GCAGAGCUUUGCCCAAACUGGUGAUGGUCCAUUCGGGCAGACAAUCCUUGUCAACCACUUGGAGCCCAGCCCCCUAAUUAUGCCAUAGAUGGGUCUGUUGAUUUCCAAGGCAUAUGCACUGAUGUGGCAAAUUUUGCCACUGGAUUGCCCCAUCUCAACAGCUGCCCUGACAAGACUUGGGAUUUUACUUCCAGAUCAUGCCAGGUGGGAGAGUUACUAGCCAUGGGCAUCAGGCCAGCAGGUUAGGAGAGACAGAGUUGUGACACGCUAUAUGGAAGAUUCUACACAUCAUGUUGUGACGAUGUCCCUGCCUCUGAUCACACAGGCAAGGUGCCAGCACUUUCCUACUCAUGCAGCUCAAAAGCCUCACAGUGCAAACAUUGGGAUCCCAUGCUGAACCUCUGACAUCCCCUCCUUGCCAGAUUGCUGUGCAUUGCCCUAGAGUGUCAUGGGUAGCAGGGUACAUGAGCACCUGCCACUGAUGCUGUCAUCAUGUGCCUUCUCUGAUGAAAGUUGCCCCAGUUGGCUGGUGUGAGUGCUGCUUGGCCAUCUGCCCUUUCCUUUUUCUCUUCUCUUUAUGUCUGUCUGUCGAAUGCAGAGUGCUUUUUAUCAGACUCUGUUCACUAAAAGCUUCUCACUGGUAUUUAUUCUGCCUUUUAAUCUACUCCUUAACUUGUUUACUAUUUUAAGUGAUUUUUACUCUUUCUUUAUAGUUGGUUUACAGUGUUCUGUAAAUUUCUACUGUAUAGCAAAGUGAUGCAGUCACACAUAUAUAUACAUUCUUUUUCUCACAUUAUCAACUUGUUUAUUUUAUUUUUUUCGUCUUUUGUCUUUUUUAGGGCCAUGCCCGCAGCAUAUGGAGGUUCCCAGGCUACGGGUCGAAUCGGAGCUACAGCUGCCAGCCUAGGCCACAGCCACAGCAAUGCAGGAUCUGAGCCCCAUCUGCGACCUACACCACAGCUCAUGACAACACCAGAUCCUUAACCCACUGAGCAAGGCCAAGGAUCAAACCCACAUCCUCAUGGAUCCUAGUCGGGUUCAUUAACCGCUGAGCCAUGACAGGAAUUCUGGGACUCUCAUUUUAAAAGUUAACCUAGAUGUCCAUUGACAGGAGGGUGGAUAAAGAAGAUACGGCACAUACACAAUGGAACAUCACUCAACCAUAAAAAAGAACAAAACAAUGCCAUCUGCAGCAACAUGAAUGGACCCAGAGACCACCAUACUACAUCAACUAAGUCAGGCAAAGACAAAUAUGGUCUCACUUACAUGUGGAAUCCCCCCCCCACCCCAAAAAAUGACAUAAGCAUACUUAAUUACAAAACAGAAACAGAGUCACAGACUUCAAAAACAAACUUAUGGUUAUCAAAGCGGGGAAUGAGGGGCAGGAAUGGAAUGGGGUUUGGGAUUGACAGAUGCACACUUUUGUGUAUGGAAUGGAUAGUCAACAGAGACUUGCUGGAUAGCACAGGGAAAUCUACUCAGUGUUCUUUGAUAAUCUAUAUGGGAAUGAUAUGUGUAUACAUAUGGCUGAAUCAUUUUGCUGUACAGCAGACACAACACUGUAAAUCAGCAACACUGAUUUAUACAGCACUAAAUCAAUGAUACUUCAAUAACUUUUUUAAAAGUUUAUUUUUUUCUCAUUAUAAAAAUAAUUUAUGCUGGUAUUAUGGAAAAAUUAAAAACAAAGAAAAAAAUCACCCUGUAUUUAAUCAGUUAACUUUUCCAAGGAUCAAAUCUCUUACCUAGUUUGAAAUUGAGAUAACCAACUUUUUUCACUUAAAAUGUAGGUUUAUAUCCUAUCUUCUGCUUUCUUCAAUUUAAAUGAAAACAUUAAACUGUUUUCAAAUUAUUGCAAACAUUUUGUAAGCAUAAUUUAAUGGUUGCUUAAGGUUCCAUCAAGUAAAAUAUUUCUCAAAGUUUUGCCCAGGGACAUCUUACAAAAGGAUCAUCUGGAGGUAGCUGAAACUAUGGGAUAGCAGCUCAGUAAUAUUCAUUUGAAACAGUUUAUCCAGAUGAUUCAGUUCUGAGAAGCCAUCAUUGAUCAAAUGCACUAAAAUUUAUUUCCUGAUGUUCUAAUGUGUGAGACAAUUUGUUCCCAAUAUUUUUAUCAUAAAUAAUAGCAUGAUUGAGAUUUAUCAUAUAUCAUAAAAUUUACCCAUUUAAAAUAUAUUUUAGCAUAUUCACAGAAUUGUGCCAUUACCACUAUUUAAUCUCAGAAUAUUUUCAUCACCCACCAAAGGAAACCUGCCCUCUUUAGGAAGCAGGAUUCACCCUCACCUCAGGCAAUAACCUAUCUACCUUCUACCUCUAUAGAUUUGCUUUUUCUGGCUGUUUCACAUACAUGGAAUCAAAUAGUAUGUUGUCUUCUGUGACUUGCUUCUUUCACUUAGCAUAAUGUUUUCAAGGUUCAUCAGUGUUUUCUUGUGUAUCAGCACUUUUAUUUCCUUUUUUAUUAUGGAAUAUUCAAUUUUUGAUUAUACUUUUUCUGUAUCCAUUAAUCAGCUGAUGGAUAUUUGGCUUAUUUCCAUUUUUUGGCAAUUAUCAAUUUGUAUACACACUUUUGUGCAUUGUUUUGUGUGGGCAUAUGUUUUCAUUUCUGAGGGGUAUAUACCUAGAAAUGGUAGUGUUGCAUCCUAUAAUGUCUCUGUGUUCAACAUAUUUAGGAAAUACCAACUUGUUUCCCAAAGAGGCCGCACCAUUUUACAUUUCUAAUCAGCAAAACAGGAAGGUUGCAGUUUCUUUCAUCUUCCCUAUCACUUACUAUGUCUUCAUUUUUUGGUUUAACUAUCUAAGAAGUUUAAAGCUGUAUCUCAUUUUGGUUUUGGUUUGCAUUUCCCUAAUAUCGAAUUAUGAAAACAUCUGUUAUGUACUUUCUUGUCAUUUGUAUAUGUUCUUUGGAGAAAAUACAUGCAAUUUUUUGCCUAUUUAAAAAAAUGUGUUGAGUUGUUGAGCUUUAAGAGGUCUUUAUAUGUUCUGGAUACAAGCCUCUUAUCAAAUACAUGGUUUCUAAAGAUAGUCUUCCAUUAUGUGAGGUUUUUUUUUAAUAUAUAUAUAUAUAUUUGUCCUGUUUUUCAAUAUGUUUCCAUAACCUUCUUUUAUCUCCUUCAUAAUCUAAAAGUGAUUAUUUCAUAGCCCCUUUUAGAUUGUUCUGUUAUUUCCACUGUUACUCACUAAGUGUGAAAUUCACUGGUGGAAAGAUCUACAAGCCCCGCCCUGCAGAGCAGCAGAGUAGUUUCAGGUUUACUUCUGCUGGAGCCAUUGGCAUUUUGGUGGUUUUGGAUCAGGUCUAUAUUAAUUUCAGGGUUUGGGAUUCCACCACCUUGUGGGUAGUCUGACUUUACAACCCAUUACAGAGUAUGGCACUGGCUUAGUGUUUUUAGUCUUUUCCAGUGUUUUCCUUGCUGUUUUUCCUUCCCCUCGCUCCUCUCAUAGCUCUGGGUGGAUGGCAGGCUUUCGUGUUCCUUCCCUUGGUCAGUGAGUAGAGAUUUUUUUUUUUUUCAGUUGCAUUUUCAUGAAGUCUGCACUUCCUCAAGAGAAUGAAGGAGAAGCUCUAUUGAAUAGGCUUCUGGACCAAGAAAUUGUGGACAAACGUACCCCUAUGAACCCAAGAGUAUUAUAUGAGGAUAUCUACAAAUUGAGUCCUUAUUUCUGUGUCAAGCUUGGUAUUAUGCGCUAAGUUGAUAGGAAGAACUGAAAGCUAAAGUUCUUUGCAACUCUGGACUUAGCUAGAAUUAGUUUAUUCCUUUUUUUUUUUUUCCAAGAGCUCAGCUUUUCUUAUUGAAUGUGUUAUAGAAGUUUAGCCAAAAAAA
rnacentral:lncRNA from 1 species